rnacentral:rRNA from 1 species
GACAGAGGUGCCAAGCGUUAGGCGGAAUCACUGGGCUUAAAGCGUGUGUAGGCGGAUCGUUAAGUACCUUGUGAAAUCCCACGGCUCAACCGUGGAACUGCUCGGUAUACUGGCGGUCUUGAGCCCCCUAGGGGCAACUGGAACAAGCGGUGGAGCGGUGAAAUGCGUAGAGAUGUGGAGGAACACCAGUGGCGAAGGCGACUCUUUGGCCUGUAACUGACGCUGAGGCGCGAAAGCGUGGGGAGCAAACAGG